GAUCAAGCAGCAGCCCUCAGAGCACCGCGCACCCAGCCACCAUGAUCAAGGUUCUGAUCCUCCUCGCCAUGCUGGCCUUGUUCGCUGUCUCCUACACUGUGGCAGCACCACAGUACUACGUCGCAGACAGCCUGUACUACGGCUACCCUUACGCCGGCUACUACGGCGCCUACUACCCGCACUACUACUACGGGCGCUAAGCUUAAACCACAACCGGCGCAGCAACAGUUCACGGUGAGCG
rnacentral:lncRNA from 1 species